AUUGAACGCUGGCGGCAGGCCUAACACAUGCAAGUCGAGCGGAUGAAGAGAGCUUGCUCUCUGAUUUAGCGGCGGACGGGUGAGUAAUGCCUAGGAAUCUGCCUGGUAGUGGGGGAUAACGUUCCGAAAGGAACGCUAAUACUGCAUACGUCCUACGGGAGAAAGCAGGGGACCUUCGGGCCUUGCGCUAUCAGAUGAGCCUAGGUCGGAUUAGCUAGUUGGUGAGGUAAUGGCUCACCAAGGCGACGAUCCGUAACUGGUCUGAGAGGAUGAUCAGUCACACUGGAACUGAGACACGGUCCAGACUCCUACGGGAGGCAGCAGUGGGGAAUAUUGGACAAUGGGCGGAAGCCUGAUCCAGCCAUGCCGCGUGUGUGAAGAAGGUCUUCGGAUUGUAAAGCACUUUAAGUUGGGAGGAAGGGUUGUAGAUUAAUACUCUGCAAUUUUGACGUUACCAACAGAAUAAGCACCGGCUAACUUCGUGCCAGCCGCCGCGGUAACAC
rnacentral:rRNA from 1 species